GUGGGGAAUUUUGGACAAUGGGCGAAAGCCUGACCCAGCAACGCCGCGUGAAGGAAGAAGGUUUUCGGAUCGUAAACUUCUAUCCUUGGUGAAGAUAAUGACGGUAGCCAAGAAGGAAGCCCCGGCUAACUACGUGCCAGCAGCCGCGGUAAUACGUAGGGGGCAAGCGUUGUCCGGAAUGAUUGGGCGUAAAGGGCGCGUAGGCGGCCCGGUAAGUCUGAAGUGAAAGUCCUGCUUUUAAGGUGGGAAUUGCUUUGGAUACUGUCGGGCUUGAGUGCAGGAGAGGUAAGCGGAAUUCCCGGUGUAGCGGUGAAAUGCGUAGAGAUCGGGAGGAACACCAGUGGCGAAGGCGGCUUACUGGACUGUAACUGACGCUGAGGCGCGAAAGUGUGGGGAGCAAACAGGAUUAGAAACCCUAGUAGUCC
rnacentral:rRNA from 1 species